UUGUAACAAACUACGCUGAGUUAGCUAGAAGAAGUUAGUUACAGAAUGUGGUCUAUAAAUACAACCUCCAUUACUUGUAUUCACUAGCCUUUUGAGCUCAAUCAAUGAGAAGCUCUCUCUAAAGAAGCAGUUACUGUUUUAGUGUUCAUUCUAAGUGUUUUAUUUCAGUUUAGUUCAUGGUAUCAGAGCUAUACACAGUAUAACUUUGAGAGGCAAUCGAUUUGAAAUCAUCAGAUCAAUUGUGCAUCAUCAUCGAACUAACAGUUCUUCAGCUGAACUAAGUUGGUGAUCAAAAAUCAAUUGAAGAUUGAAUCUCUUCCGCUACAAGUAUUUUUCAAAGUUUCAAUUAGAAGAUCCAAUUCAAGGUUUUAACAAUGGCAACAAUGGAGAACAUGUAGGUGCAUCAACUGCUCUGCCUAGUUUUAUGACUAGCCUAGGUAUUGAUUAUAAUCAUCCUUUGUUUCUUAGUCUAUCGGAUGUAAGUGGAUAUAAUCUCCUUUUAUUUCAAUUACUUGGAACUGAAAAUUACACUCUAUGGAGUAUAACAAUCACUGUUAGGACAAAAUAAACUAGGUGUGAUUAAUGAAUCCUGUAAUAAAGAAGUUUUUUGGUGAAGAACUGUGGGGACAUGGAAAAGAACAAAUGUUAUUGUCUUAAAAUGGCUAAUGAAUUUAGUAUCCAAAGGUUUGCUUAGUGGAAUUGCAUUAGCAUCCACUGCUAUGUAGGUUUGGAAUGAUCUGAAAGAGAGGUUCGAUAGAGUAGAUAGUUCUAGAACCUACAGUCUUCAUAAAGAUAUUGUUUCCUUGCAGCAGGUAACUCACAUUCUGGGAUGAGGUUGAGAUCGUAGUACCCACACCUUGCUGUAAUUGUGCAAAAUCGAAGGAGUUUGUCAUUCAUCUAAAUAGACAGAAAUUGUAUCAGUUCUUAAUGGAGUUAAAUGAAUCCUAUCAUCAAGCUAGAAGUCAAAUUUUGAUGAUGAAUCCCCUACCUGUUGUUAACCAUGCUUAUGCUAUGAUAAUUGGAGAUGAAAGUCAAAGAGUUGUAGUAUCACACAUUUGUAACAUGGAAUUGAAUUCUGUUAGUCUAGAUUCUAUAGGUAUGUACUCAAAGGUAGGUACCGCACCAGGAGUAAGUCAGAGAUCUAAGAAAAUCCUUUUAUGAUAUGUGAGGUCUGCAAAUUUAAACGUCACAGUUUGGAGACUUGUUAUAGAGUAAUUGGUUAUCCAGCUGAUUUCAAGUCCAAGAGAAAGGUGCAAGGUUCUUCUUCAAAAGUCAACAAUACUUGGCAAUAUCAAUCAAGUCAGGCUCAUUUUUCAUAUGGUUUGAACACCAAUGUCCGUGCACCAGAGUGGAAUAGGAAACCUGAUAGCUUGCAGACUAAUCAUGGUGGCGCUUUUCCUUAAGAGACGGGAUAAGAAAGAGAGAGAGCUCGUGGCUGUAUAUUUUUUAUCAAAUUGAUUCCUAACAGGAACAAGAUUGGCAAAUGUCACUGUGCGUAACACAUUUAAUUGGAAGUGGAAUGAAGAUAAUGCACUUUACUCUUUCAUUUGUAGCUCGAUUAGUCCUUUGGUUGGGCUAACUUGAAUCAGUUUAGUUUUUCACGUUAGCUCCUUAACUUCAAAUGGUAUUUAUCCAACGUCGUGAAAGUGUCACCUUUCAAGAGUAGAAGGAAGCGGAAUAAGCGCUCUUAUAUAAGUUCAUUUCUGAUUCACUUCUUCUCAUUCGUUCCGAGUCGCCAAGGGGCAGAAGCCUUUCUUCUGAUUUCUUUGCAAGCAUUACGGAAGAUUCGUUAGCUCUUUCUCUUGGUGAUCGUUUCAUUGGCAACGACAGAUAGGCGCAAUCAAAACAUUGCUAGUAUGAGACCAUCCUCCGCCCGCCGGAGAGAUCAGUUUGACUAGGGCUCAAAUCAGACUUCACCGAGUAAUGAGAAACUUAGGACCUAGGUACGUAAACUUGCUAGUCGAAAAGAGAUCUUCGCGUUCAAAUCAUUCUAAUACACUAAGUCAAGCUGAGAUGAAUGCCAAACAAUUUUUGAAGGGUUGCACAUUCACAAAGGAGUAGUAUGAUUACAUUCUUAGAGGACUUCAACAGCAGUCAGAACCUAACACUAGCACCGCUGAUUACAAUCAUAGCAAUUCUGCUCACACUGCAGGAUCUUUCCAGUGGGAAGGUGAAGGAAGUUGGUAAAGAAGCUGGUUCUUUAUAUACUCAAAGUCAUGACAGAGGUGAAAAGGAGAUUGUCUUGACAUUAAAUCAAGGUCCCACAAAUAUGGAUUUGUGGCAUAAAUGACUAGGGCAUGUGUCUUCUAUAGUACUCUCAAAAAUCUUUAAUAUGAAUAAUCAAAGCAUUUGUAAACUGUCCAAAUGUUUAGUUUGUCCUUGUGCAAAACAGACUAGACUCACAUUUUCUUCUAGUAGCAUCAAAAGUUGUAAUUGUUUUGACUUGAUUCAUGUUAAUCUAUGGGGUCUCAAUAAUACUCCUACGUUUAAUGGACACUAAUAUUUUCUUACAA